UUCAUUAUUCAUACAAAAUAUUAAAGACAAUGAAAUAUUAAAGACGUGGAUUUGUACUUUGUAGUAGCUAGAGUUUUUUUGCAUUGAGGGCAUGCGUACUACUUGCCAUUUGCAGGUAUUCUGCAACUAAUUAGGAGCACCUAUAUGUCGCAAGUUAACACACAUUUACAACAAAUCCAGCAAUCACUGCAGUCCUCGUGGGUUUGACAAAGUCUCCCACAAGUUAGGCCCAAGUUAUUAACUUAGUAGAUGCCUUUCAAGACUUGGGAGAUCAGCAUUAACAUCCCUUGCCGCCAACACUUCAGAUUUUGAGAGCCAUGACAUAUUAACUGAAAUAUUUUACUAUCAAAAUCAAUCAUAUUAUACGAAUAAAAGAAUAUCAUGUUCAUAUAACAUGCAUAAAAACAGUUGUAUACAUGUUUGUUAUAUAAGUAGUAUGUAUUCUCACAUAUAUGUAUCUAUAUACAUGGGGACAAACACAAUAUUUGAUGAUGUCAAGUUAUAAUGUAGACAUAAAAGAAUACAAUACUAACCUGUGGUUGCCAUGAAAAAGAUAGCUAGAAUGAAACUAAGCUUGAGAAUCGCCAUUACAGAAAAUAAUACUUCUAGGUUCUUGAUAGUUUCUCUGCAAGCAUCUCUUUAUUUUUCAAAAAUC
rnacentral:lncRNA from 1 species